GUCUACGCUCAGGCCACCCUGAACAAGCCCAAUGUCUGAUCUCGGAAGCUAAGCAGGGUCGGGCCUACUUAGUAUUUGGAUGGGAGACCACCUAGGAAGAGCAGGUGCUGUAGGCA
rnacentral:rRNA from 1 species